UACGUAGGGGGCAAGCGUUGUCCGGAUUUAUUGGGCGUAAAGAGCGUGUAGGCGGCCAGAUAGGUCCGUUGUGAAAACUCGAGGCUCAACCUCGAGACGCCGAUGGAAACCAUUUGGCUAGAGUCCGGAAGAGGAGAGUGGAAUUCCUGGUGUAGCGGUGAAAUGCGCAGAUAUCAGGAGGAACACCAAUGGCGAAGGCAGCUCGCUGGGACGGUACUGACGCUGAGACGCGAAAGCGUGGGGAGCAAACAGG
rnacentral:rRNA from 1 species